rnacentral:lncRNA from 10 species
CUGGAGGGAGUCAAGAAGACACUACCUCCUAAUUAAUAGGCGGUAAAUGUCUGAGGAACAGACUCCUGUCCCAUUUCUUCAAACAUCUGGGGUUCCGGACACUUAGGCCCUCUGCCAGGAAACUCAGGCAUUGUUCUGCUGGAAGGAGAGAAGGCCAGGAGGCAACCCUCAAAACCUGGGUGUGUUUGGCCAAGGCCAAGUAGAGAUUUAAGGGUCUUCGAGUAAAGCAUUCAGGAUUCUUA